GAUGAACGCUGGCGGCGUGCUUAACACAUGCAAGUCGAGCGAAGCACUUUUGCGGAUUUCUUCGGAUUGAAGCAAUUGUGACUGAGCGGCGGACGGGUGAGUAACGCGUGGGUAACCUGCCUCAUACAGGGGGAUAACAGUUGGAAACGGCUGCUAAUACCGCAUAAGCGCACAGUACCGCAUGGUACCGUGUGAAAAACUCCGGUGGUAUGAGAUGGACCCGCGUCUGAUUAGGUAGUUGGUGGGGUAACGGCCUACCAAGCCGACGAUCAGUAGCCGACCUGAGAGGGUGACCGGCCACAUUGGGACUGAGACACGGCCCAAACUCCUACGGGAGGCAGCAGUGGGGAAUAUUGCACAAUGGGGGAAACCCUGAUGCAGCGACGCCGCGUGAGCGAUGAAGUAUUUCGGUAUGUAAAGCUCUAUCAGCAGGGAAGAAAAUGACGGU
rnacentral:rRNA from 1 species